UCCCACAUCCAAAGACAUGCAGGUUUGGUGGACUGGAAAUUUUAAAUUGUCCGUAGGUGUCCCUGUGGGUGUGAAUGUAUUUGUUUGUCUAUAUGUGGCCCUGCGACAGACUGGCGUCCUGUCAUGCGUGUACCCCACCUCCCGCUCUAUGACUAGGCUCCAGCCCCC